rnacentral:lncRNA from 1 species
AACAUCAGACAUGUUGAUAUGUGUUGUAGUGGUUUAAUAUCAGAACAUCAGACAUGUUGAUAUGUGUUGUAGUGGUUAAUAUCAGAACAUCAGACAUGUUAAUAUGUGUUGUAGUGGUUUAAUAUCAGAACAUCAGACAUGUUAAUAUGUGUUGUAGUGGUUUAAUACUAUCAGAACAUCAGACAUGUUGAUAUGUGUUGUAGUGGUUAAUAAUAUCAGAACAUCAGACAUGUUGAUAUGUGUUGUAGUGGUUUAAUAAUAUCAGAACAUCAGACAUGUUAAUAUGUGUUGUAGUGGGUUUAAUAUCAGAACAUCAGAACAUCAGACAUGUUGAUAUGUGUUGUAGUGGUUUAAUAUCAGAACAUCAGACAUGUUAAUAUGUGUUGUAGUGGUUUAAUAAUAUCAGAACAUCAGACAUGUUGAUAUGUGUUGUAGUGGUUUAAUAAUAUCAGAACAUCAGACAUGUUGAUAUGUGUUGUAGUGGUUUAAUAUCAGAACAUCAGACAUGUUGAUAUGUUGGUUGGGGAGGUGGAUUAUUCUGCAUCAGAAGGUUGGGUUUUGGUUGGGGAGGUGGAUGGGCAUUACUCUGCAUCAGAAGGUUGGGUUUUGGUUGGGGAGGUUGAUGGGCAUUACUCUGGAUCUGAA